rnacentral:RNase_P_RNA from 1 species
GGAGUGAAUCAGGUAAUCGCAGGCUUUUAAAAGUCUGAGGAAAGUCCGAGCUCCACAGGGCAGAGCGCUGGGUAACGCCCAGUGGGGGUAACCCCAGGAAAGUGCUACAGAAAAGAGACAGCCAGGUAUUCUGGUAAUGGUGAAAAGGCAGGGUAAGAGCCUACCAGUUAUUGGGUGACCAAUAAGCUGAGCAAACCCCGUUCGGAGCAAGAUCAAGAAGGAGAUAGAUAGUGGCCCGCUAGAGGUCUCCGGGUAGAUCGCAAGAAGUAUAGGGUAACUUAUACUCUAGAUAGAUGAUUACCACACUGUUUUCACUUUAGAGUGAGAGCAGUGACAGAACUCGGCUUAUGAUUUGCUCCCCCG